GCGCCCUUAGCUCAGCCGGAUAGAGCAACCGCCUUCUAAGCGGUAGGUCAGUGGUUCGAGUCCACUAGGGCGCGCCA
rnacentral:tRNA from 1 species